AGAGUUUGAUCAUGGCUCAGAUUGAACGUUGGCGGCAGGCCUAAAACAUGCAAGUCGAACGGUAACAGCGGGAGCUUGCUCCCGGCUGACGAGUGGCGGACGGGUGAGUAACACGUAGGAAUCUACCUAGUAGUGGGGGACAACCCGGGGAAACCCGGGCUAAUACCGCAUACGCUCUACGGAGGAAAGCGGGGGAUCUUCGGACCUCGCGCUAUUAGAGGAGCCUGCGUCGGAUUAGCUAGUUGGUGGGGUAAAGGCCUACCAAGGCGACGAUCCGUAGCUGGUCUGAGAGGACGAUCAGCCACACUGGAACUGAGACACGGUCCAGACUCCUACGGGAGGCAGCAGUUAGGAAUCUUGGGCAAUGGGCGCAAGCCUGACCCAGCCAUGCCGCGUGUGUGAAGAAGGCCUUCGGGUUGUAAAGCACUUUCAGCGGUGAAGAAAAGCUCAGGGACAAUACCCCUCGAGUCUUGACGUUAGCCACAGAAGAAGCACCGGCUAACUCCGUGCCAGCAGCCGCGGUAAUACGGAGGGUGCGAACGUUAAUCGGAAUCACUGGGCGUAAAGCGCGCGUAGGCGGUUUGUUAAGUGGGAUGUGAAAUCCCCGGGCUUAACCUGGGAAUUGCAUUUCAAACUGGCCGACUAGAGUACGGUAGAGGGAGGUAGAAUUUCCUGUGUAGCGGUGAAAUGCGUAGAUAUAGGAAGGAAUACCAGUGGCGAAGGCGGCCUCCUGGAUNNNNNNUGACGCUGAGGCGCGAAAGCGUGGGGAGCAAACAGGAUUAGAUACCCUAGUAGUCC
rnacentral:rRNA from 1 species